GAUAAUGCAUAUAUAUUACAAUUUUAAUUAAAACCUUAUAGUAUCUUGCCCACCUAACUAUUUAUCACAUUAUAUCCCCUUUUCAUUUAAAUACUAGGUCAGGUUUGGGUACCAUAUUGGAGAUUAUUUGAAUUGAAGAAGAUGAGGAGGAAAGGCAAAUUGCAGGUUUGUGCGUGAAUCUAAUUCAUGAAAGAGAUUGUGAAGGACUUUCAUUUUCUUUUCUAUUCCAUUUCCGUAUUAGAUUCACGCACAAAUUUGUCAUUUUCCUUUACUUUUAUUUGCAUUCGUAUUCCAUUUCCCUGAUUCAGAUUUCUCUCUCUGUCGUGGAAAUAGAGAAACCCCGUUUUCAUAACAUCUUGUUACAUAUGCUAAAUCAAAUUCAUACCCUGAAGACAUGAUGGCAAUGAAAUUCAUACACUUACAUAGCUCAGAGGACCAGAGAUCUAACAAUUGGGCCAAGUGAAAAACAACUCGACCAAAAAUAACCUUUUAACACAUUAGGUUUAUUAGUGUCACUUAUAUGCACUGGACCUGAUAAAGGUUUGAAACAGCAAAAGUGGAGUCUAGGUGAAAAAUAUACAUGUGAAUGCACUUUGUACUUUAUUUGUGAGUGGAGUGGAGUGGACGUGACGAAUCUCCAUGUGAUGGUGAUCGAGUUUUUCUAAUUUAUUUGAUAAAAAAAUAAGUAAAUUUC